CAACCCCUCAAGCGCGGCUUGUGUGUUGGGCCAGCGUCCCCCGUGGACGGGCCUCAAAGGCAGUGGCAGCAUCGAGAUCUUGGUGUCUGAGUGUAUGGGCAUCCAUCACCGCUCUGUGACCCAAUCGACGCUGGUCGUGAAACUGAAAUUCAUCCA
rnacentral:misc_RNA from 1 species